GACGAACGCUGGCGGCGUGCUUAACACAUGCAAGUCGAGCGGAAAGGCCCCUUCGGGGGUACUCGAGCGGCGAACGGGUGAGUAACACGUGAGUAAUCUGCCCUUCACUUUGGGAUAACCCCCGGAAACGGGAGCUAAUACCGGAUACGACCAUUCAAGGAAUCGGGGGGUGGGGGAAACUUUUUUGGGUGAGGGAGGUGCUCGCGGCUUUUCAGCUUGUGGGUGGGGUAGUGGCCUACCAAGGCUUUGACGGGUAGCCGGCCUGAGAGGGUGACCGGCCACACUGGGACUGAGACACGGCCCAGACUCCUACGGGAGGCAGCAGUGGGGAAUAUUGGACAAUGGGCGGAAGCCUGAUCCAGCAACGCCGCGUGAGGGAUGACGGCCUUCGGGUUGUAAACCUCUUUCAGCACCGACGAAGCGUGAGUGACGGUAGGUGCAGAAGAAGGACCGGCCAACUACGUGCCAGCAGCCGCCGUAAGAC
rnacentral:rRNA from 1 species